AUCUCCUUUUGUUCCUGCGGAGAGGUUUACUAUCUGUAAACACUCGGCUUUUUACGGUGGGACUUGCGAGUAAAAAGGCUUUUUGAAGACUUCACCCGGUCAAUUAGGGCAGCUCGGACGUUUUAAUGGCAAGCCUGGAGAAGGGCCAAUGAGGAAGUCGCCAUAUCUGGUGAGUUUAUUUCUAAUUGUUUACAAGAUGUUGGUCCAAUAUGGGGUUUCUCUAAUUCAUAAAAUGUUGGGGAAAAUAUUUUGGGGAAAAUAUGUAUAUGAUGGUGAAAGCAAUAAAUAUUAGCAGUAAAUAAACUCCUUAGAUUCUUUUUUCCAUCUUUACUAUUUUAUCAAUAAAAAACGUAUACAAUCUAAUGUACAUGAUGAAAAGUUGUACAGCUUUUUUUCCCCAUGUUUAAAAUAAGGACUCAAUUUAUUUUUUUUAUAUGUCGAUAUAAAUAUAUAUAUAUUUUGUCAAAAUAUAUGAUCAUGUUAUCAAAGGAACAAAAAAAGAGUGAGACAAACAUACACCUCAACGUAAAAGUUAUAAAUAAUUGUCCAAGUGAUUUUUUUUUUUUUUUUAACGAGACUUUGUAGCGAGUUGUUUUGUCCGAGUCCGGGUUAGCUCGCACUUUAGCGGCAGCCGCAGCCCUCCACCACCAUUUCCUGGUAGUUUUUCAGCACCACUUUAUCGUUUUCGUCCAAGUAGAGCAUGGAGAUGGCGCUGAGCUCCGUGGGCACACAGCAGGCCUUGGGAAUGUUGUUGUUCACAGAGUUCACCAGUGUCUGAACAAUGGCGUGGUUGGUAGAGUUGAGGUGAUCUGCCAGCGGGAAAGGGCAUUCCCCGUGGCAGUAGUAGGCCUGGUAGCCAGGGGGCGCCACUAUCCAGUCAUUCCAACCCA